GAGCGCAGCAGCUGGGGAAUUUUGGACAAUGGGGGAAACCCUGAUCCAGCCAUCCCGCGUGUGCGAUGAAGGCCUUCGGGUUGUAAAGCACUUUUGGCAGGAAAGAAACGUCGCGGGUUAAUACCCCGCGAAACUGACGGUACCUGCAGAAUAAGCACCGGCUAACUACGUGCCAGCAGCCGCGGUAAUACGUAGGGUGCAAGCGUUAAUCGGAAUUACUGGGCGUAAAGCGUGCGCAGGCGGUUCGGAAAGAAAGAUGUGAAAUCCCAGAGCUUAACUUUGGAACUGCAUUUUUAACUACCGGGCUAGAGUGUGUCAGAGGGAGGUGGAAUUCCGCGUGUAGCAGUGAAAUGCGUAGAUAUGCGGAGGAACACCGAUGGCGAAGGCAGCCUCCUGGGAUAACACUGACGCUCAUGCACGAAAGCGUGGGGAGCAAACAGGAUUAGAUACCCUGGUAGUCCACGCCCUAAACGAUGUCAACUAGCUGUUGGGGCCUUCGGGCCUUGGUAGCGCAGCUAACGCGUGAAGUUGACCGCCUGGGGAGUACGGUCGCAAGAUUAAAACUCAAAGGAAUUGACGGGGACCCGCACAAGCGGUGGAUGAUGUGGAUUAAUUCGAUGCAACGCGAAAAACCUUACCUACCCUUGACAUGUCUGGAAUGCCGAAGAGAUUUGGCAGUGCUCGCAAGAGAACCGGAACACAGGUGCUGCAUGGCUGUC
rnacentral:rRNA from 1 species